rnacentral:rRNA from 1 species
GAGACUCUGUGCGCGUGCAUAUCAAUAAGCGGAGGAAAAGAAACUAACAAGGAUUCCCUUAGUAACGGCGAGUGAAGCGGGAAGAGCUCAAAUUUGAAAUCUUCAAGGUUCUACCUUGACGAAUUGUAGUUUAUAGAAGUGUUUUCUGUUAGUGGAGUGGCAAAAGUUCUUUGGAAUAGGACAUCAUAGAGGGUGAGAAUCCCGUAUUUGGUCAUUCCUCCUAGCGUUGUGAUACACUUUCAACGAGUCGGAUUGUUUGGGAAUGCAGUCCAAAAUGGGUGGUAAAUUUCAUCUAAAGCUAAAUAUUGGCGAGAGACCGAUAGCGAACAAGUACCGUGAGGGAAAGAUGAAAAGAACUUUGAAAAGAGAGUUAAACAGUACGUGAAAUUGUCAAAAGGGAAGCGUUUGACACCAGUGUUGUUUUUCCGAAAAUCAAUUACGAAUGUUUUAUUUUUGAGAAGUUAUGACUUCAUCGGCUUGCUUCUCUCUUUAUGAAACUUUCUUAACGCACUUUUCGGUUAACAAGUCAACAUCAAUUUCUUUUGUUGUAAAAGGGUAUGAGGAAGGUGGCUUUCUUUUCGGAGAAAGUGUUUAUAGCCUUGUACCUCUGCAAUCGGAGAGAUUGAGGUCUACAGCGUAGAUCCUUCGGGGUUAGAUACGUCUGUGCUAAGUUAUAGCUUUUCAUAGACAACUUGUUGACUAUGUUUAGUCUUGUAGCUUACUCGCUGACGCUAUUUUACCUACGCUUAGGAUGUUGAACUCUAUCACACACAG